CCAGAGAAGAGAAUGAAGUCACGUAGGUGUUUAUCUUUCUGUAUACUCUGCUUGCAUCUGCCUCACUUGUAAGUGCACAGUGAGUGGGGCCCACUCUUCCUGGUAGCUUUGCACCCAAUGUCUGCCCCUCUGCUGCUUCUACCCUGAGGGGGUUGGUCCUUCCUAGGAGUGGACAUUUCCCUGUCUCCAUCCAUAUGCAGGCCCCAUGCCCAUACCCCAUCCACCUCAAGCCCAUGCUUAGUCCAGCAGCUUCCUCUUCUUAACUGUCCUCACUGCUUAAGGUAGUUUUCAGGAGUUACACGACGGAAGUCUCUCUGAGAUGCUAUUCCUAGAUGGCCUCCCAAGACCUUCACUUCCCUAUCUGGCAAUUACCUUUCAGUCAAGUGUUAUCGCAUGGGCAAAGGCUCUCUAGGACAGGGAUCAUGUCUUAUUUAUCUCUAUAUCCCUAGGACACCUGGCAUUGUCCUUGGACAUGCUAGGCUAUCAGACACAUGAAAAUGAAGCAGUUCCAACUUGGCAAUGUUUCUAGGAGGCGUUCAAACUUCUGCUCAAUUGUUUCUUACUCACCUUUCUACUCCCCUUGGCGGCAAAGAACCGUCAGCUCAACUUUAGGUGAAGGAACUGCCAUAUCAGCUCAAUUUUAGAAGGGCAAGUCCCCCAGGGCCAGGCCCACUGCAGCAGCGUGGUGACCUGGAGAACUGGCAAUGGGAGACUCAGAUCACCCAUUACUGACUGCUUGGUUAGUCCCAGGAAGGAGGGAACUCCUGAUUGGUGAUACCGAGUUCUAUAUAACCUUUGUCCUGAUUGAAUCCAGUGGCUCCAGAGGGAUCCUGGGGUGGCCAAGAGAGGGUUGGAGGAAGGUGGUGCUCAUGGGUGCAGGGAGGAAGAAGCAUAGACACUUGAGGGUUGAGGAGAGACUGAGUAGUGUUGGAGAGCGGAGUGGGGCUUCACCUGCUGGCUGCCUGGGGUUCUCUGGAGGCCUGGCAGAUCCUUGAUUUGCCUCUGUGUUCUCCCAUGGACAAUUUGUCACAGAGGUUAUUAAGCCUCCAUCCUGGACUUUGACUUUGUUUUAAAAGGUUUGAGAGUCUCUGCCACGCUAGCCACUGCUAAGCCUUCCCCCUUGGGAAUCUCUUCAGCUUUGCCAUCUGGCUAAGCCUCCUUGCCGGACCCCACCCUAUGGGGGCAAUUAUAUCAUUUCCAUGUUGCUAGACAUGACUGGUUUUUGCUGCUUGGGUCUCUAGCAGAAGUUAGGGACAGAUAGAUGGCAAGCAAGUCUUGAUCUAUAUUGUCUGCCUUUAGGUCUACUGCCUUGCAAGGCCCCAGUGGUGAGAUAGCCUCUGGCCACAGUGGGAAAGCCAAGCUACCCCCUGCCCUGGAAUGAGCAGCUAGGGCAGCUGAUUCUUAGGACGGGUACGUCGGGUUUCAUCCCAGUAUCCUCUUAUUCUCUUCCAACCAAAUCGUACUGUUGCAGAAAAGGGAUGUGGGGGAAGAGGGGCUGAAGAGUCAGAAAUUUUGUGCCUCGAGUUCUCUUUUUAGACACCUUUCUCCAUGAAAGAGCCUUAUUACCUGUCAUAAAUAAAGAAGAGAGACGAGUCUAGAUGCUUUAAAAUAAUCAUGAUCUGGAGGGAAGCCCCUCCUUUGGGUAGCUGUUCCUAAGAGCAGCUUUACUCCAAACUCACUUUCUCUGCCUUCCCAACACUCUGAAUGUCCAGGACAAAGACCUAAACAUUCUCCAGUCCCUCUGAGGCCGAGUGUUAAGAGUAUUUGAAGGGAUCUCAGCUCUAAGGGAUCGUCACACUUUAGAGACACCAGCUCUUCUUGCUGGGGCAGUCGUGUGUCUGGGCAUGGGGGAGUCCUUUUCUCUGGAGGUCCUUAAUAAAGAACACAAGUUUUCUUCUCUGGGCCAUGGUGUCUGAACCAGCCAGUCCUAAGUAGACCAUUUUAGACCAUUUCCUUCAAGAAGUCAGGCCCAUAAACAGUGAACCAGGGAAGUGCCUGCUAGCAGGUCCAUGCCACGGCUUUUAAACUCUCUUGGCCUCUGGACCUUGUUCCUAUCUUGUUGGCACACACAUUCCCUAUCUUUCUCUCAUAAUCUCUUAAAGUUAAGAGUUUGUCUUAGUGUUCUUUAGAGAAGUCACAAGACAAGGCAGAACAGACAAGUCCUUGCAAAACAACUUUUUGUUAAGCGUACUCCCGUACCCCAUGAAGACAGAACAUUAAAUUUGACAGCAACUCCUGGGGUAGCUUGUCUUUUCUACCUGUAAAGCAUCUGCAGCUACGGCUGGGGUUCUGGACGUAAGCAUCUGAGCAUGUAGCCACACUGUGAGCAUCUGAGCAUGUAGCCACACUGUGAGCAUCUGAGCAUGUAGCCACACUGUGAGCAUCUGAGCAUGUAGCCACACUGUGAGCAUCUGAGCAUGUAGCCACACUGUGAGCAUCUGAGCAUGUAGCCACACUGUGAGCUGAUGGGAACUGGGCUGAGAGUCUGUCUAUCUGAUGGGAGAUGGAAGGAAAAGGCUCUGCCUCUGUAGGAGCUGGUCCUCAAGAACCCCCACCUGGGGAACCUGGGGUGGCAAUUUAAAGGGAAUCAUCAGCCUCUGUGGUUUGAGAGGGGGGGUGGUGGUGGCUAUGGGGUCCUCAAAUCAAUACUCUUAAAGCUGCUUUAUUGACAAGGCUUCCUAGUCCAAAAGUGUUUUAGAGUAAGGAGAGGCAGAGGGCCUAAGUUACUGAUAUGUGUUCAUUCAUUCACUCAUUCAUUCAACUGGUAAAUUAAAAGCACCUACUAUGUGCGUCAUGCUGCUUUGAGUAUUGAGAUGGAUAAAACGAAGGUGUGGCUCUGCUCUCUGGAGAUUAUAACUGAGGCUGUGACCAGGAGCUUGUGCAACACAGGGAGGGAUUGGCUGGCUAGGCUUUCAUCUCCUCUUGCAUCUUGAUUUUUUUCUGCAGUGGAUAUUAUUGUCUUCUAGUUGUCGAAUUGUCAUAUAAGAAAGUUCAGAAACAUUUUAUGCAAAGACGUAGGAUGGGAGCUUCAAAAAAGGUCGCCCCACUCUGACUUAGAAAACAGAGUUCUCAGGACAGUCUUACCUGCUUUAGAUGAUGUGGUCCUAAUUCAACCCUUCUUUGAAUGUUCCUGAACUUUUUCAGUUGUUGGUUCCGUGAGUCUGAGAAGCACAGCCACUGUAUUCUCAUUGUAUACGGCUCUCACCGUGGCUACCUCCCAACGGACUAUCCCCAUUAAGAAAUGGCGAUGGAGGCGCAACUAUGAGAAACCUGUUUUUGGUUAAAGAGCAAACUUAAAGUUUGUAUCCAAGGCCAGGUGAAGGAGCUUUGGUUUGAUCAUGAUGAAUGCUUCAUGGAUAAGCAUAGCCAAUCUCCCCUCCCUGUGUGUGCUGUCUAGUUCAUCCCCACUGUCCAUGUUUUCCAUAAUCAGAGCUGAAGGACACAACUUUAGACUAAGGUUCCCCAACUCUUGUCGUGUCAAAGUGACUGUGGUAGCAUCUAUAUUGAUGGGCCAAGUAGGGCAAGGAGAGAACCCUCAUGUGCUGAGAAGCCAGCCCCAGGGAAGGAUUUACAGAAACGAAACUAACUGGAUCUAACUAAGACAGGGCCCAGAUGAGUUGAGAGAGGAGUGACUCACAUUUUCAAGACAAGGGUAGACUAUACUCUCCAAUGGAAUCAGAUGGCAUCACUGCAAGAUGUUCAUCGAUACCUUCGUGGAGCUACAAAGUGAUACUAUGCCACCAUGUUGCCGGUCCAUAGCUAGGGUUCAUCUUCUAGAUUCUGGGAAUUGGGGAAAAUGAUGUUACAAUUUCCCUACAAAUUGAGUAGCGUGCCCCUCAUAUUCUCCUCGGCAAAAAAGUAGUUAUAUGUCCACUUUUUGUUGAGCAAUUUCCUUCAGUGCGUGUAUGUGCGUAUCUGUCUUUUGGGACAUCUUGGUCCUUGGCUUGCCCCCUCCCCCGCUUCUGUGAGAUGCCACAGCACAUCAGCUGGUUCUGACCGCUGCCUGGUCAGGGAAGGUGAAUGACAGAAAAAAAGAAAGCCUACCUUUGACAUUUGCUCAGAUGCUACAAAGUGAGACAUGACCUUUGACGUGUACCUCAAAACUGAAGGCUAGAGACUGGUUUCAUCUACUUCUUGUGCUGCCAAAGACCCAUCUCACCUCUGGAACCAAAACUUCCCUAAUACGUUAGGAAAGUUAAAAGUUGGCUUUGCAGUUGGGAGCCAACACACAGGUCACCUGUUUAGUGCCCUUAGGGUCUUUGCCAGGUUUAUCCAUGGGGAAUCCAGAAAUCCUUGGAGCAAUUUCUAGAGAUUCAUGCAAACAAACAAAAAAAAAAACCUUCUGCCUACCUGGGCUCUUAGGAUCCUACUAAGUUCUGCACUUAAUUUGAGUGGCAAGAGAGGCAAAAAACAGUUCUGUAAAUUAAUGAAGCAACAAUUCUUUUUCAAAGGUGAACAACUUUUAAAUGGUGAGGAAGCGUUAAAUCCAUUUAUCCAUCCAACAACUAUUUAUUGAGAACAUAUCUAGUAUUUUCACCCUAGAGGAGGGAUUAAACAAAAGUGACAGCCUCACCUUUCCAGUCAAAUUCCCCCAAGGAAGAGCAGUGUAGGUUUUAAAACUAUGAACAGGGGAGAGAAAGCAGGAACUGUCUUUGAUGCAGUAAAACUGGGAGAAAUAUCGGAAACAUGGAAAGUCCAUGGAGUCAGUUUCUGAAGGAAGUAUUGCUUCAGACCAUUUACACACGUGAAGAAUGUGUGUUGGGCUUGUAAGUGACAGAGGUAGGAUGGAAGAGCCCAGAGCACAGGAUGGAGUGAGUGGCUGUGGCUGUCAAGACAGAUAGUGAUUGUCCCAUAACUGCCCUGGACAUGGAUAUCUCAGACCUUGGGUCACAGGAUCCAAGUGGAGCUCUUCAGUCUACGUAAGCCAAAACCAGACACCCCUGCUGCCUCCUCACUCUACCAGUGACAGGCACCUUGCUUAUAUUGGAAGGAAGGAAGCAAAACUUGCUCACAGUACAUACAGCACCUUUCUCCUGGUUGCGAGGCUCACAGAACCUUUUAUGCACACAAAUGUUAUGUGUGAGGAUGUACUGAUUAAUCAGAGUUUGCAGCAGAGGAAAAGGUAAUAGUGUAAGCAGAAUGGAGCUUUGAGAUAAACGUGGCUGGCAGAUGCACAGAGAGGCCUUGGGAACCAAACAGCUCAACAUUGAGAACCAACAGAUCCGUCCAGAUAGCAGAGCAAAUAGAUGUGGAGAAUCUGUGGAAACAUAGUCUCUUUGACUAUGUCACCUGAGAAGAUGAGGACAUAUAGGACUGGAGAGUUCAGAGUUGAGAUGGGAAGUAUAUCUGGCCAGUUCAUCAUUUCUCUGUAAGGAGUUUUAGAGAGUAGGGUAGAGCAGAGAAGUAAAAGCAGAAGCAGCAGAAAUGAAAUCCAAGCAUAAAUAGCAUGACCAAGAAGCCAAGUAGUGUGCUUAAGGAUAUAACCAUGUCUGAACACAUCACGGUGCCAAGACAAUGUGAGAGAGACGGGGCCGUUGGGGGUUGAGGCAGGAAGGGCUUGCAAGAAGAAACAAGCUGAAGAGUGACAACAGACCUUCGACAGUGUCCAUGAAAAAGGGCGAUGGAACCACAAAAUCAGUGGGACUGGGGAAGACAUCAAAAUGAUCGCCAAAUGUGUGACUGAAAAGUUACGUCCACUAACAGGGGCUCAGAGCCUACCAUUCCUUGGCUUGCACACACAAAAUCACUAAAGGUCAUUAUUUAAGAGCAAAACCAUGGAAAUCAAAAGGAGUCAAGAGGUCACUCUGCUAGUUGUACACACUUGUGCUUUACAGACAGCAAAAGCAAGGCAGCCUUCUGUACUCCGCAGUGGGAUGAUGGCUGAGGAGGUGCGGACUGAGUUCUGUUCAAGAUCAGUGACUAGACUGUAGCAGUGUUUGUAAAAGGUCUUAGUCUCCGCCAGUCUUGCAGCCGCACUGUAUGAAUGAAAACUGUAGAAAAGAUUUGUCUCUGGCUUAGCACUUAGGAUUUUUUUGCACCUGGUGUGGAAAGGACUGGAGAGACAGCUCAGUGUUUAGGAACGCAUACUGUUCUUGCAGGGGACCUGCGAUCAGUUCCCAGUCCCCACAUCAGGUGGCUCAUACAACUGCAAGUCCAGGUCCAGAGGAUUCCUGCACACACAAGUGCAUAUAAUUAAAAUAAUAACAAUAAAAGAUACUUUGGGAAAAAAGUUACAACUGCCUGUCUAGAAUUGUACCAUUUGUUAGAUGUUUACUGUCCAUUAAAUUUACUUGGAGCACCUAGAAGUAAGAUUGGAAAACAAUGUUUCUCCCAAGAUGGAAGUUGUGGUUUGCAGUAAAUACACCUCAAUAGCUUUUCUUAUUGAAUGAAGCAUAGAGGCAGACUUGAGUGCCCAGGACCAUAGGUACGUACAGCACUGGAUGGAGAGAGGCAUCAAGAGAGGCUUUUUAAUACACCCAGUGGCUGAGCAUCCUGGAGAAGGCCAGCCCUGCUGGAUGGAGGCAGAGGCCAGUCAAAAAGUGGUUUGGGGAGAUGUGAGGCCUGUUUGGGGGAGAUGUUGCCUCUGGAAGCUGGUCCAGGGCUGACCCACAGCAUUGCCCCUUGGGCACCCACUGGCUGGGGCUGUGAAUGGAAAGGAGGCUGGUCUGGCUGCAUGUUGAGCUGCCAGGAAGGGUGCAGUAUUCCUCCUGGAUCCCUGAGGAAGCCUCUCCACAGAGCAGGCUCCAUAACAACUUUUAACUGUUUAAUUAAAAUAAUUCUUCACCUUCAAAUUUCUGCCCUCUGCUUCCCGUUUGUUGUGUUUGGGAGAGCCAAGCGGAGCUGUGUUUCCAGCCUGAAUCUGUGGGUCCCUGACGGUUUCUGCAGUUCGUCACUGGCCCCAGCCAUUCACUUUGUCCUCACCUGUCCAGAUGUGAGGGCAAGCAGACACUGUCCAUAACUAGUUGUGCUCCAAGUUGUACCGUGCCCUUGGUCAAUAUUUUUUAUGUACACUGUAGAAGGAGGCUUCAGAGCCAUGAUUUCUUGUUCUAGCUCCAGGCAGAAUCAACUUGAAAGCAGUUCCCUUGGCCACGUCAUCACCUCCUUUGCUUUUUGGCUUUUGAAACUCUCCUAAGGAAGCAGUUGCUACAGUAUCUACCGGGAAAGCUCGCCCUCUUUUCUUGCUGUUAAUGGAGAAAUUGAAUGUCUCCCGUGAAGAUCCACUAUAACUUAGGAUAGGACCUGCAUUAGAAUUAUCCCAUCUAUCCAAGAGGACUGACUGAAGGCAUGAGCAUGGUCUCCUGCCAGCUUUGCCCUCCUGGUUAUUGCAGUUGCUCCCCGUCCCGGCUUUGUAGGCAUGCUUCAAUGUGCCUGAGCCCCACUGAAAAGCCUCUGAAUACAAUGUGGUAGUGGGCGCUGUAAAGUGGAGUAGGAAGAUGAAAGGGGCUGCCUUGUAGGAUGGAUACCCAGAAGCGCCAGUCUCCAGAUGCAUGUCUCUAAUAUCCCUUCCAGUGUACAUGGACAAUGGUCCAAUUCCACAGGGUCCAUCUCUUCAAGUCUGACUUGACAGCAAGACUGAUUAUUUUUCUGGUAUCUAAUUUUUUUUUAAAGACAAACUUUGAAGACAGGUAUGGCUGAAUACUUCUGAGACCCCAAUACCUGAGCUCCAGGUAGUCAAGCUUCCUAAAUACUGCCUCCUCCCUCUUCCCUUUGCCUGCCUUAAGAGCUUGAAACAGUGUCUGUAAUUUGAACAUCAGUCACAGGGCUCAUGGUACUACUACUGAAGACUUGAAUACGAUCCACAAAUCUGGCUUGACCAAACACCUCUAAAUGUUGAAGACGUGAAACUUGGUAGUAUAGAGGACCUUAAGGGCAGACCCAGACUGCUGCCAGUCCCAAUUUCCCAGGGGGUCUUUCUGUCUUAACUGACCCAGUACCUUGGGGACUUCAGCUAUGUGUGGUAUACAACUGGGACUGUAAUUUGACAUUUUUCUCUGCUCCUAUACAGUAGCCUCCUAUAGCUUCCUGCUUUGUCUGAAGCUCAUUCACCAGGGUACAACUUAGCAGUUGGCAAAAGGACUUAGAAUUAUGUAACUACAAUUAUAUACAAGUAUAAGAUGCUUUUAUGGGUUUGGGAUCACUUGGGAGCACUCCAAGGUAUGGUUGCACCACCCUGUAUCUGAUGCUUUACGCCACCCCACCAUUAGAGAUUCAUUCUUUUGUGGAAGCUGGACAGUCCUCCAAAAUGUCUUCAUUACAUGUCGACCCAUCAGCAGCAGAUAGAUGGGAGCAGCUCGCAGAUAAAAAGGAUUGUUUCCCCGGGAGUCACUAGGCCUUGGUGGUGGUGAGACAGAGAAGAAGCCAUGACAAGAGGAUUUUGGAAAUUGUAAUAGGAAUGAUUACAGAGCUUAAGAGAGAACGGUCCCCACUCUAGGAUUUCCCACAAAUGGGGACACCUACCACCCUAGAAAUAUAACAUAGAAUGUAACUCAGCUACAUUGGAGAGAGGGGGGGAUAACUUACAUGCAACCUGAGCAAACCAGAAACCCAGAGGGAAAGGAGUGGCCACAUGCACAGGCCACCAGAAGAUUCCCAGGGCUCUAGCUCCUACAUUCUGAGCCUGAGAUUUGAUGAGAACCAGGCCUCCCCUCAACCCAAAGUGUCAUCCUCUGUGAAUUGCCCUGUAUGAGCAUGACAUCAGUUACUUUGCUCAAUGGCAAAGUGCUUGACAAAGCAAGCAUCAGGAAGGGUUUUGAGGGUACAAUCCAUCAUGGUGCUGAAGGAGUGGCCGAGGGAGUGUGAGGUAGUGGGUCCCACUGCCUCCAUACCCAGGACGUGGAGUGAGGUGAAUGCAAGCUAGCAUUUAGUUGGCUUCCUCCUUUGCCCCAGGAUCCCAGCCCAUAGGAUGCUGAUGCCCACAUUCCGGGUAGGUUUUCUGUUAAACCUCUCUGGAAACAUCCUCAGAUACACGUGGAGGUAUGUCUCGUGGGUGAUUCUAAGUCCAGUCGCAUUGACAAGGUAGAUGAACCAUUAAAGGCACUUUUGGGUGUGGCUGAAAAAGAGCAGUGUUUGUGUUGAGUCUACUGUGUAAAUAGAAGACAGGAGAGAUGUCCAUGAGAAAGGUCACAUGUUUUCUUUGUGUGUCUUCUGGACUGUGGCAUUUGCACUUGUUCUGAGGAAUGGGUUAGGGGCAGAGAUGGGAUGAAAUCGGUAGUUUCUGCAGGAGACUUUCUGAGCCUCAGCACACAGGUGGAUGCUGGAGCCUCACUGGGCCAUUCAGCAGCUAAGGGACUCCACAUUCUUAUGAAGGUCAUUGUCAAUGCAGGUGGCAGCCGGGAAAUCUAAAUUUACAGAAGGUGACCCAGGGGAGUUCAAGGUCAUUGUGAAUAUGCAUGGCGUGAGUCUCCUAAAAGCCCCCAGGAAGACCUUUACAGGCACCACAUCAGAAGAGGGAUUGAGGGGGUCCCUGGAGCAUUGCUACUUAGUGUGAUACAAGCUCUAGUAUCCUACUGAUGUCAUAGAUCUGUACCUGAGAUGUUGGAAGAAAAAGACCCAGGGGCCCAUUUGUUCACCUGCAUGACUCCUCACAGAGAAAAAUGCAGGCUGUGAGUCUACAGGUCUGGCCAGGUUGGGGAAGAGGCGUGCCGAGAGUGGUUUCAAAGACUCCACUGCACAACCAGGAGAAGGAAGAGAAACGGUUCCUCUUUGUUCUUGCUGUUGAGAGACUAAAAGAGGCAGAAGGGAGAAGGCAAGAUCUGGAGAGUCUUUGGGUUGGAAACUUUGAAUCGAAUGUUUCAAGGUAUUAUUCUUGGACCAGGAAGAAAAGUUAACAGAUACUGAGUGUAGCCUAUGGUGUCUGCAAGGGUUGAUGAUAGAUUAGUGAAGAGGAGAGAGGGGAGAAGGAGUGGGAAGAGAAGAAUGAAGAGGGAGAUAAGAGAAGAAAUAAGAAAUAAGCCAAGUAGCAGGACCAUCUUUGCAAGCUGAGAAUGGGCACGCAGGCACACAAUUUGUCCCGACACCACCAUCCUCAUUCUUCCACCCUCUUGUCCACGUGCUGGAUCUUUUUCUUCCUUCUUGUGACAAAUUCCACAUUUUUCAGUAUACAUUAGCUAAAUUCUGGUGUCUUUGGAUGGGCAUUGUAUAAGCUGAAUUUUCCCAACAGAUAUAUAUAUAUAUAUAUAUAUAUAUAUAUAUAUAUAUAUCUCAAGCAAUGCCUUCCAUACCUGCAAAGAUAUUAUGCAAUCUGAGUAACACCCCUGAGAGCAGGAACUUACUAAGCAGAUGUGACAGACAGUGCUGAGGGCAGGAAUGUAGGUUGAUAGGUGUCAGUUAGGUGCAGUUACUCUGUCUAUAGCCAUUCCUAAGUUGACAGGUGCUCUGGCCUUGGGGAUAGGGUAGACUUUUUUUUUCACUUGUCCUUGUGUGCCAUAGUCCAACAGCAGAUGCAGCUUUGUGGAUCUGUCACAUCCAACUGUAUGCUGUGUGUCCCCACUCUCAUUUACUAGGGAUCACGACGAGCUUGGUUCUGGGUUAUGUACUUCAUAGCAGCCGCAAACAGCAGGCUUUCUCAGCCCUCUACUCCCUAUCGUAGACAACAUGACAGUGCUUAGAGAGGUUAGUGAUGUGUUCAAGGUCAGAGUUACACACCAGAGCCCAAAUUUAAGACCAAGCUAGUGUGGCUCCAAAGUCUGUGACAUCAUGGGAAACUGACCCCUUGAGGAAUGUGAGAAAUGUGACUUGGCCCUUUAGCUCAAGCCUCUCCUCUCAGCCUUUCUCAGCCAUCUAUCUGCCUUUGACAUACACAGUGACCGUUUAGACUGUCAAGAGGAUCUGGAAGCAGGGAGUGAUUGGGGGACAUGCUGCAGAGAGUCCUUGCCACCCCCCCCCCCCCACACACACACGGCACUCUCCGCCUUUAUGAUACCUCUGGGUGGGCGUCAGGGAGAAUCCCAGCCAUGGAAGACAGCUUAGAUCUACCUGGAAAGCGUCCAUUCCAGGAGAAGACAGUCCUUGGCUACGGCGAACUGGAGAUGUACUUGGAUUCCGUGGAUACAGAUCACAGAAGGACUUGGAAAGAUCAAAACCUGUUGUCCAGCAUUUGGGAACACUUGGGACUCUGGAAAGGUGGCCACUGAAAAGCACCACAGGUCUUAAUGGCUCCCCGGAAUCUUCUUAGCACUGAGAAGCUCGAGCUAUGGACACUCCUUUCAGACAGGCUUGCGACUGUGAUGUCAUGGAUCUUCUGCCUCUAGAUCCUGAUCUCAGUUUUGAGUGCAGUGUAUGCUUUUGCAUAUGACUUUAGGGCAGAUAGGGAUGCAAGGUGGAGUUUUUGUCUUUUGAGGAUUCAGGCUUUACCUCUAGAUAUUAGUGUGGUUAAGAUUUGAAAAUCUAUAGUAAGACAAUAUUACUUUGGGGAAACCAUCACAUGGAAAUAAAGGCUCCCAUUCUCG
rnacentral:lncRNA from 1 species